UUAGCUAUUUUGCCCAUCUUAAAAUUCAGGCUAUUUUCUUGCUACUGAGUUGUGUGAGUACUUGCAAAUUGUGGAUAUUAAACAUUUAUUAGCUGUUUGAUUUGCAAAUAUUUGUUCUCAUUCCUUAGGCUAUGAAAAUUUCUGAAGAAGAUAAUGUUUCACCCGGGGAAAAUUCACGGGGGAUAAACCAAAACACAGAAUGCCCAACUGCCAGCUUCCUGCCCUAGGAGGAGGGGAAAGGGGAUGAUGGAGUUCUGGAACUCAAGGAGGACAAUUCCAGUGUAUCCGUCUGUUGGCCAGCUUCCUCCUUUUCAUAACUCUGCUGGAAGAACAUGUGAUGUGCUCCUGCCAGGGUCUCAUGUUAUGGAACUCACAGCUCACCGAACCUGAAAACAGAAUUUAGGAAGGGGAAGGAUGGGACGUGAAGGUGGAUUCCUGGGCCUGAAGGACAUUACUGCUUGUGUCACAAACUCCAGCAAGAACCUCCAAGGGAUCCAAGAGUUCUGAGGCCCAACCUGGCCUUCCAGGUGCCCUGAAGAGGUG